AUUGAACGCUGGCGGCAGGCUUAACACAUGCAAGUCGAGCGGAGAUGAGGUGCUUGCACCUUAUCUUAGCGGCGGACGGGUGAGUAAUGCUUAGGAAUCUGCCUAUUAGUGGGGGACAACAUUCCGAAAGGAAUGCUAAUACCGCAUACGUCCUACGGGAGAAAGCAGGGGAUCUUCGGACCUUGCGCUAAUAGAUGAGCCUAAGUCGGAUUAGCUAGUUGGUGGGGUAAAGGCCUACCAAGGCGACGAUCUGUAGCGGGUCUGAGAGGAUGAUCCGACACACUGGGACUGAGACACGGCCAAGACUCCUACGGGAGGCAGCAGUGGGGAAUAUUGGACAAUGGGGGGAACCCUGAUCCAGCCAUGCCGCGUGUGUGAAGAAGGCCUUAUGGUUGUAAAGCACUUCAAGCGAGGAGGAGGCUACUGAGACUAAUACUCUUGGAUAGUGGACGUUACUCGCAGAAUAAGCACCAGCUAACUCUGUGCCAGCCGCCGCCGUAACAC
rnacentral:rRNA from 1 species